rnacentral:rRNA from 1 species
CCUACGGGAGGCAGCAGUGGGGAAUAUUGCACAAUGGGGGAGACCCUGAUGCAGCGACGCCGCGUGAAGGAAGAAGUAUUUCGGUAUGUAAACUUCUAUCAGCAGGGAAGAAAAUGACGGUACCUGACUAAGAAUCCCCGGCUAACUACGUGCCAGCAGCCGCGAUCAUACGUAGGGGGCAGGCGUUAUCCGGAUUUACUGGGUGUAAAGGGAGCGUAGGCGGUUUAGCAAGUCAGAAAUGAAAGCCCGGGGCUCAACUCCGGGACUGCUGUUGAAACUGUUGAACUAGAGUGCAGGAGAGGUAAGUGGAAUUCCUAGUGUAGCGGUGAAAUGCGUAGAUAUCAGGAGGAACACCAGUGGCGAAGGCGGCUUACUGGACUGUAAAUGACGCUGAGGCUCGAAAGCGUGGGGAGCAAACAGGAUUAGAUACCCUUGUAGUC